rnacentral:rRNA from 1 species
AUUGAACGCUGGCGGCAGGCCUAACACAUGCACGUCGGGCGAGUGGCGGACGGGUGAGUAAUGUCUGGGCAUCUGCCCGAUGGCGGGGGAUAACUACGGGAAACGGUAGCUAAUACCGCAUACCUUCGGAUGUGCCCAGAUGGGCUUAGCUAGUAGGUGGGGUAACGGCUUACCUAGGCGACGAUCCCACGCUGGUCUGAGAGGAUGACCAGCAAAACUGGAACUGAGACACGGUCCAGAAUCCUACGGGAGGCAGCAGUGGGGAAGAUUGCACAAGGGGCGCAAGCCUGAUGCAGCCAUGCCGCGUGUAUGAAGAAGGCCUUCGGGUUGUAAAGUACUUUCAGUUAGGAGGCGUUACUCGCAGAAGAAGCACCGGCUAACUCCGUGCCAGCAGCCGCGGUAAUAC